rnacentral:lncRNA from 1 species
AAAUAUCACCAACGCCAAAAAAAUUUAAUCAAGUGCACGAAAACUAUAAUAUAUAUAAAACUACAACAAAUACAUUAGUUAAUGAAAAAUCCUUUUUAAAAAGUAUUAUGGAUGCAUACAUAAAUAUUUAGUGAAAUGUAUAAAAGGAAAUAAAAAUAACAAUAACUUGAAGAACAAAAUGUAUAAGACUGAGAAUAUUAAUGAUUUGUGAUUUAAUAUAUAUUCAACUUAUUGUCACAAAAAACUUAAUAAAAAAAUACAUACUCUGUUUAAAGACCAUUAAAAAUUACGUUAAAACUUUUAACAUUUUAAGAGAAAUUAUGAAUCAAUAAUAUUAAUUUUAUCCGAAAAAUUCAGCACUAAAUGCACAAAAAAAAAAAAAACCUUAAACUUUAUAAUCCUAAGCAUUAUUCCAAACGAAACCUUAAACCCAACCUAAACCAAACGCUAAACCUUUUCUACUACCUAAACCCUAAAUCCUACCUAACCCUAAACCCUACCUAAACCUAGACCUUAACCCUAUCUAACCCUAAACCCUACAUAAACCUAACCCUAAUCCCUAAACCCUUCAUACUACCUAACCCUAAACCCUGUUUAACCCUAAACCCUACCUAACCCUAAACCCUUCCUAACCCUAAAACCCUACCUAAAACCUAACCCUAAAUCCUACUAACCCUAAACCCUACUAUCCCUUAACCCUACCUAACCCUAACCCUACAUAACCCUAAACCCUACUAACCCUACCUAACCCUAAACCCUACUAACCCUAAACCCUACUAACCCUAAACCCUACCUAACCCUAAACCCUACCUAACCCUAAACCCUUUCUAGCCCUAAACCCUACCUAACCCUAAACCCCAUCUAACGCUAAACCCUACCUAAACCUAAACCCCUUCUAACCUUAAACCUGACCUAACCCUAAACCAUGCCUAACCCUAAACCCUACCUAACCCUUUUUAGCCGUAAAUCCUUCUAACCCUAAACCCUUUCUAACCCUAAACCAUGCUAACCCUAAACCCUACCUAACCCUAAAUCCUACUAACCCUAAAUCCUACCUAACCUAAACCCUACCUAACCCUAAAACCUUUCUAACCCUAAACCCUUUCUAGCCCUAAACCCUACCUAACCCUAAACCCUACCUAACCCUAAACCCUACCUAACCCUCAACCCUACCUACCCUAAACCCUUUUUAACCCUAAACCCUACCUAACCUAAAAC